UCAAUGGAAUGAUUUUUUUAAACUCUCCAUUUUUUUUUUCAGGAUGAUCCUGGAUGCAUCCACCAAGAGAUUUGCAAAGUCAGGAUUAAGCUUAAAAGCACUCACAAAAGGGGAAGAUAAACCCCAGCAAAGCAGCAGGCUAACGAAAACCUUAACUAAGAAGACCUACGUGACAACUACCUGCUUGACUUGUCCUUGUAUCUCAUUAUAUUUGGCAGUGCACCAGCCCUUCUUAAAACUUCUUGGGUCCUGUGGAAGGAAUAUUGCAAGAGAAAAUAAUCACACCACUACCCAGCCUUGGGUAGGACCGGAGUUUCUGGAGAAAGCAUCUAUACCUGGAAUUCCAUGCCCUGAUGCACCUAGCUAUAGAAGAGGUCCUUCUGAGAGGACGAUGACCACCUUACAUGGGAGGUUGCCACAUGAUUGAGGUAUGAGGCAAGCCAGACUGUGGCCACUUCUCAGAGGGUGUCAGGCUCACCAAGGCAAUGAUGUGGCCUUCACUGACUGUCAGGCAAAACCUUCUGGCUGCAG
rnacentral:lncRNA from 1 species